ACAGCUCUGUCCCUCCAGUGAAGAUCCACAUGGAGGUCAUAGAGCCGGUCCCCGCCUGUGUUAACCCUCCCACCCAAAACCAAACCUCAGAUUGAGAUGAACCCGUACUCGACGGUCACGUCCGAAGAAAACGAAUUAGACCGCAGCAUCACUCUGCACCUGAAGAUCACCUGCCCGCCCUCACCCGCCCAAUCCCAGACGAGCCUCGCCCCCGGGAUCGCCCCGUCGCCACACCUGCCGACACGCCCGCC